rnacentral:rRNA from 1 species
GAUGAACGCUGGCGGCGUGCCUAAUACAUGCAAGUCGAGCGAACGGACGAGAAGCUUGCUUUUCUGAUGUUAGCGGCGGACGGGUGAGUAACACGUGGAUAACCUACCUAUAAGACUGGGAUAACUUCGGGAAACCGGAGCUAAUACCGGAUAAUAUUUUGAACCGCAUGGUUCAAAAGUGAAAGACGGUCUUGCUGUCACUUAUAGAUGGAUCCGCGCUGCAUUAGCUAGUUGGUAAGGUAACGGCUUACCAAGGCAACGAUGCAUAGCCGACCUGAGAGGGUGAUCGGCCACACUGGAACUGAGACACGGUCCAGACUCCUACGGGAGGCAGCAGUUGGGAAUCUUCCGCAAUGGGCGAAAGCCUGACGGAGCAACGCCGCGUGAGUGGUGAAGGUCUUCGGAUCGUAAAACUCUGUUAUUAGGGAAGAACAUAUGUGUAAGUAACUGUGCACAUCUUGACGGUACCUAAUCAGAAAGCCACGGCUAACUACGUG